rnacentral:lncRNA from 1 species
UGGAGGCGGAGGGAGAUGAUUCGAAUCUGCGAGGCUUGCUGAAUUGCGGCAUGGUGACGGCGUCGAGGAAGACGAAGUGGCCGGCGACUAGGGUUUUCGGAUUUGGGAAUUAGGGUUUUAGUGGACGGAAGAUGAUGAUGUGUCAAGGGUGGUGACGUGGCAGUUUCUCAAUGGUCAGAUUUGUGUGUGGAGGAUUUGUACACGUGGCAUGAUCUGGUGAAGUCUGACUAGUUAGUGGUAGGAGGGGUAUGGAUAGGAAAAUUUAGGAGUGUAGGAGAAAAGGGUUACUGUUUGGGCUUGGUUCAGAAGAGAGGGGUGUAUGCAGGGAAAUCUGGGGGUGCAAGGGUAAAAACUGACUGUUUGGCCCAUCUGUACAUUAUUUAUCAAAUAAAAUCUAAUUUUGGGCUUUAAAUUGCAAUUUGGACCAAUAAAACUCUAACUUCAACUGCACAAAUAAAUAUUAGAACAUCCAAAAAUAAUUUAUGCAAUUAAAAUCACUUUUUAAGCCCUUUUUUAUUUCCAAACACGCUAAAUUUAAUAAUCAUAAAUCCUCUACAAAUCAAUCGUUUAAGCACAAAUAUUCUAUAAAAAAUUUUAAUUUUAAAGCAUAAAUGUGGACAUAAAUAUGCACUCAUCACACCCCCACACUUAUCCUUUUGCACUCCUGGGCAAAAUUGAUUAAUUUCAAAACUUUGUUCUGGGUCAUUUUAUUCCAUAUUUGCNUUUGGAUCAAAAGAAUGAACAUCACUGGAUAUAGAUCAAACAUUUAAACAUCACUUUGNCAUGGACAUGCAAAUGAAAUCUCUUUAUUCUUCACACAUGAGUUAACCUUUUUGAAUUCCCAAGAAAAUCAAAUAUGAAAGAUAACACUCAAGUCAAAAUGUAUCUAUUUCUCUCCAACUCUCUCAAGUGUUUUUGGCUUGUGUUUACACUCAAAAUACCCAUGUAAGUAGACACCCUUGGUAUUUAGCAAGACUCUAACAUUCGCAUACUUUUAGAAAACAUGCAAUUAUUGAUCAUGAGGGCUUUUNCUCAAUGGUCAGAUUUGUGUGUGGAGGAUUUGUACACGUGGCAUGAUCUGGUGAAGUCUGACUAGUUAGUGGUAGGAGGGGUAUGGAUAGGAAAACUUAGGAGUGUAGGAGAAAAGGGUUACUGUUUGGGUUUGGUUCAGAAGAGAAGGGUGUAUGCAGGGAAAUCUGGGGGUGCAAGGGUAAAAACUGACUGUUUGGCCCAUCUGUAUAUUAUUUAUCAAAUAAAAUCUAAUUUUGGGCUUUAAAUUGCAAUUUGGACCAAUAAAACUCUAACUUCAGCUGCACAAAUAAAUAUUAGAACAUCCAAGAAUAAUUUAUGCAAUUAAAAUCACUUUUUAAGCCCUUUUUAUUUCCAAACACGCUAAAUGNAAUAAUCACAAAUCCUCUACAAAUCAAUCGUUUAAGCACAAAUAUUCUAUCAAAAAUUUUAAUUUUAAAGCAUAAAUGUGGACAUAAAUAUGCACUCAUCA